GGGCAUUUCGUGACACUCAUAGUUCUCAAAGUCUUAUACAUGGAGGGGAGUGCAUAUAAUAGCAUGCCAUACGUCCAUCAACCUAGCUUCACGAACAUUUCAUCAACAACCAUAACACAUAAAUGCUUGAUUUCUAGUCUCUUAGACAUUUUAUCGAACACCUCACAUGCACAACUUAGGUAUAAGUAUAAUAACCCAACUACUACUCAUGAACAACCAAAUUUAUGUGUUUACAACUCAAAUAUUA
rnacentral:lncRNA from 1 species